rnacentral:rRNA from 1 species
ACUAUGUGCCAGCAGCCGCGGUAAUACAUAGGGUGCAAGCGUUGUCCGGAAUUAUUGGGCGUAAAGAGCUCGUAGGUGGUUCGUCACGUCGGAUGUGAAACUCUGGGGCUUAACCCCAGACCUGCAUUCGAUACGGGCGAGCUUGAGUAUGGUAGGGGAGUCUGGAAUUCCUGGUGUAGCGGUGGAAUGCGCAGAUAUCAGGAGGAACACCGAUGGCGAAGGCAGGUCUCUGGGCCAAUACUGACACUGAGGAGCGAAAGCGUGGGGAGCGAACAGGAUUAGAUACCCCUGGUAGUCCACGCCGUAAACGGUGGGCGCUAGUUGUGCGAACCUUCCACGGUUUGUGCGACGCAGCUAACGCAUUAAGCGCCCCCGCCUGGGGAGUACGAUCGCGAGAUUAAAACUCAAAGGAAUUGACGGGGCCCCGCACAAGCAGCGGAGCAUGCGGCUUAAUUCGACGCACGCGAAGAACCUUACCAAGGCUUGACAUAUACAGGAAUACGGCAGAAUGUC